rnacentral:rRNA from 1 species
UGUCAGUAACACGUUUAACAACCUAUGGAUGGGGAAUAACCUCGGGAAAANACUGAGAAUAAUACCCAAUAGACCACAGUGNCCUGGAAUGGCCUGUGGUUGAAAUGGAUUUAUCGCCGNNUAGGAUAGGACUGCGNGGCCUAUCAGCUUGUGGUGAGGUUAAAANNUGGCCCACAAGCUAAUUAACAGGUACGGCUCUGAGCAAGGAGGGGCCCGGAAUUGGGGUACUGAGACACGGACCCCCAGGCCCUAUGGGGCGCAGCAGGCGAGAAACUUUGCAAAAUUGUGCGAAGCACGAAAGGGUUAAAUCCGAGUGUCUCCUGCUAAAGGAGUCUUUUGUCAGUUGUAGAAUCACUGGUGAAUAAGGGGUGGGCAAGUUCUGGUGUCAGCCGCCGCGGUAAAACCAGCACCUCGAGUGGUCAGGAGGUUUAUUGGGCCUAAAGCAUCCGUAGCGGUUGCAUAAGUUUUCGGUUAAAUCUAUGCGCUUAACGUAUAGGCCGNCGAAAAUACUGUGCAGCUAGGGAGUGGGAGAGGU